rnacentral:pre_miRNA from 1 species
GGAAUAUAAGAACCCGUCUUUUAACUUUUAACUAAAAAAGUUAAGAAUCGGUUCUUAAAUAAGAGUUUUAAGAACCGGUUCUUAACUUUUUUUAGUUAAAAGUUAAGAGACGAGUUCUUAUAUUUC